ACAAAGGUAAUAAAUGCUCAAAACUCAUUUCUUCCCCGUGAUCACUGCAUCGUACUCCUACCGGGUCCCGAGGUGACACUGGUCCAGGGAGUCUGUGUGAGGCAGACGUGGGCAGUGGCGGCCACUGAGCACCUGGUCCCAAUUCUGGGUUCCGUGACUUCCUGCUGGCAGCUCGAGAUCAGCUGCUGUGGGAGCAUUUACACCACGAAAACUGGCAAACGCUGCAAAUCGGGGCCUGAGGUAUUGUUUUGUUCAUUGUCUGGAGUUAAGAAAGCGAUGGAAACAAUGUUAAUGCUGCAGAUUGAUCAUGGCGUGUCUGUCGACGUCACACUGCGAAUGGCACAAAAAAUUGAGGAAAUACUCUCCCAGGAUUAAAAAAAAUCUUUUCUGAUUCAGCAAAGAAGUCGUUCACGUCAUUGCAAAAAGUGUGUUUGCAUUAAGUCUGCUUUAGCCUGGGUGGUCAGAGAAGGCCUCACUGAGCAAGUUCCAGGUGAAGUAUGACCCGCAUGUUGAGAAGGAGCCAGCCAUGUAAAGACUGCAGGGACAGCAGGUGCAAAGGCCCUGAGGCAGCACGGAUUUGAAGACUCGAAUGCCAACCAGAGAGGGGAGGGCUGAAGACACAGACACCAGCAGCCAGCCUACAGGGUUCCGCAUCCCAGCUCGGCCAUUGACUCCCCCUGGACCUUGAGGAAACAGGGAGGUGCCGGACAGCCAAGCCCGAGUGAGAACCCCCACCCAGGAUGAGGAUCCCUGGGGCCAGGGACGCACAUCACCUGUAGGCCAGCGGGCCUGAGCUGUGCACCUCGCUGCUCUCUGCGGAAGAAGACGUCACAUGCGGCCCAGCCGCAGGCUCCAGAGUCCCGGGAGCCUCGCAUGUGGGGCCCGUGGAGCGCCUGGGGGCCAUGGGGCUUGGAGCCCAGGAGCUGUCACUGCUGCCCUGUGGAGGGUCCCUCAGUCCCUGUUGACCUUGAACGGCGACCCCUGGGUGCAAGCGGGAGACUUUUUGCCCUGGGUAUGAGAAAACUGAGUCUCAGAUGCGAAUAAACGGGUUCCCACAGCUGCGAAGCGUCGGAGUUGGGACUGCCAACACCCAUUGCCCAUGUCCGUGCUCUUAAAAGUCAUUGAGCGCCUACUCUGUGCACACUGUGCCUGACUGCUGGGCCCCAGGCGCCUGCUCUGAGAACCGCCAGAGCCUGCCACGUGGACCCCCUCCCCCCGGCAGCCGUCACAUCUGCAGCUCUCGUGGUGACACUUCAUCAGUGAUGUGGGAUGGGGACGUCACUCUUUCAAGUCUGUGUGCACACGGCACGCCUUAUCUCCCCAGCUGGACCAGCACACCCGGCCAGUGGGACGUGCCUGCGGUUUCUCCCAUGUCUCCUUCUGUCCCUAGCAGGCACUCUGGCAUGCGUGUAGCAAUCCUUCUUGAAGGAAUGUGUAAAAUGUGGAGUAGAUGGUGACGCUGACCACCAGGGCCGAAUUUCAGUUAGGCCCUGGUGCCUUUAUAGGUGACCACAGUGCUUGGUGCUGAGUACUUCAUGAAACUCCUCGUUGCAUCCUCCCAAUGGGCCCUUUGGGACUGGAGGACGCCCAGAGAGGCCAAAUGACUUGCUCAGUGUCACUCCAUGGUGCCUGGACCGGGGAUUGAAGGCUGGCUGUGCUGACGUCAUCACAGGAGCUGGGGGGCCAGUGGGCUUGUCCAUUUAUCCUGAGGGUCUAGGGCAGUGCUAUCCCGUGGAAGCAUCAUGUGAAACGCAUCUGUAAUUUUAAGUUUCCUGGUAGCCACGUUAAGAAAGUAAAAAGAAACAGGUAAAGUUGAUUUUAAUAAUAUGUUUUCUUAGCCCAGUGUAUCCAAAAUAUGUGAUCAGUAGAAAAAUUAUUAAUGAGAACUUGUACCUGAUUUUCAUUGUUCUCCGUCUUGGAAAUCUCGUGUGGAUUUUGCACGUUGGGCAGCUGUCCACUGGCGCUCGCUGCGUUUGAGCGUUCGAACGCCACGUGUGGCUCGUGGCACUGCACUGACAGCGUCUCCAAGGCAAG
rnacentral:lncRNA from 1 species